UGGACGUUACUCGCAGAAUAAGCACCGGCUAACUCUGUGCCAGCAGCCGCGGUAAUACAGAGGGUGCAAGCGUUAAUCGGAUUUACUGGGCGUAAAGCGCGCGUAGGUGGCCAAUUAAGUCAAAUGUGAAAUCCCCGAGCUUAACUUGGGAAUUGCAUUCGAUACUGGUUGGCUAGAGUAUGGGAGAGGAUGGUAGAAUUCCAGGUGUAGCGGUGAAAUGCGUAGAGAUCUGGAGGAAUACCGAUGGCGAAGGCAGCCAUCUGGCCUAAUACUGACACUGAGGUGCGAAAGCAUGGGGAGCAAACAGGAUUAGAUACCCUGGUAGUCCAUGCCGUAAACGAUGUCUACUAGCCGUUGGGGCCUUUGAGGCUUUAGUGGCGCAGCUAACGCGAUAAGUAGACCGCCUGGGGAGUACGGUCGCAAGACUAGAACUCAAAUGA
rnacentral:rRNA from 1 species